rnacentral:rRNA from 1 species
UACAGAGGGCUCAAGCGUUGUUCGGAUUCAUUGGGCGUAAAGGGUGUGUAGGCGGCGCGCUAAGUCGGGUGUGAAAUUUCGGAGCUUAACUCCGAAACCGCAUUCGAUACUGGCGUGCUUGAGGACUGGAGAGGAGACUGGAAUUCAUGGUGUAGCAGUGAAAUGCGUAGAGAUCAUGAGGAAGACCAGUGGCGAAGGCGGGUCUCUGGACAGUUCCUGACGCUGAGGCACGAAGGCCAGGGGAGCAAACGGG